UACGAGCGGCCCAAACGUUAUUCGGAAUUACUGGGCUUAAAGAGUUCGUAGGCGGCAUGAAAAGCAGGGUGUGAAAGCCCUUGGCUCAACCGAGGAAUUGCGCUCUGAACUGUCGUGCUUGAGGAACCUAGAGGUGAGCAGAACAGAUGGUGGAGCGGUGAAAUGCGUUGAUAUCAUCUGGAAUACCGGAGGCGAAGGCGGCUCACUGGGGGUUUUCUGACGCUGAGGAACGAAAGCCAGGGUAGCGAACGGG
rnacentral:rRNA from 1 species